CGAAUGACACAUGGGUGUUGCCAUACCUUCAGUUUAUUGUUGUAGAAAUUCGGUUCCAAUGUAUGCUAAAGUCUCUGCAGUUCACGUCUUCAUCUUCUUUGAUUCGCCUGCAAUUUAAGUUGACGGUGUUAUAAGAACAGCAGGGGGUGGGGUUCGGCGAGUCGAACUUGUCACGACGAUGGCUAUGGAUUUCGGCAAUGGAAGACGACAAGACAUCUUCUCGAGUUCUCGGUCCAAUGGUCUAUCUUAAUCUCUCUUUUCCAGUUCUUGGAUGCAUUUAUUAGUUGAAAAUUUACAUCUUUUGGAUGGUUUAGAAACAGAGAACAGGGCCGAAUCACGUUGAUAUAAUCAUGUUUACAUUGAAAUAUUCGUUCCUGCCAUGAAGCCAUUGUUUGUAGAGCUUGCUUCAUCAGCAGUGGUAGUUAUAACCCUGUUUACAUGCCCACCCCUGAGCAUAAAAAGGCGAAUCCAUUCUUGAAUGCGAAUAGAAGAUGUCUGCCCAAAUACGGUAUGUGUAAACAAAUUUGUUUUUAUGUCAGCAAGUGAUUAGUAGUCGGAAAUCAUAUGCUGACUGCUAUCUAAACUACAUGAGGCAAGCUAGAUAUAGUUGAAAAUGUUAUUGUUGAUGUCGUUGAAUUUAUGAAUCACUGUUUG